GAUGAACGCUGGCGGCGUGCCUAAUACAUGCAAGUCGAGCGAACAGACGAGGAGCUUGCUCCUCUGACGUUAGCGGCGGACGGGUGAGUAACACGUGGAUAACCUACCUAUAAGACUGGGAUAACUUCGGGAAACCGGAGCUAAUACCGGAUAACAUGUUGAACCGCAUGGUUCAACAGUGAAAGACGGUCUUGCUGUCACUUAUAGAUGGAUCCGCGCCGCAUUAGCUAGUUGGUAAGGUAACGGCUUACCAAGGCAACGAUGCGUAGCCGACCUGAGAGGGUGAUCGGCCACACUGGAACUGAGACACGGUCCAGACUCCUACGGGAGGCAGCAGGAGGGAAUCUUCCGCAAUGGGCGAAAGCCUGACGGAGCAACGCCGCGUGAGUGAAGAAGGUCUUCGGAUCGUAAAACUCUGUUAUUAGGGAAGAACAAAUGUGUAAGUAACUAUGCACGUCUUGACGGUACCUAAUCAGAAAGCCACGGCUAACUAC
rnacentral:rRNA from 1 species